UACGGAGGUUCCUAGCGUUGUUCGGAAUUACUGGGCGUAAAGGGAGCGCAGGCGGUCAUGUAAGUCUGGUGUUUAAUCCCGGGGCUCAACCCCGGAUCGCACUGGAAACUGUGUGACUUGAGUGCAGAAGAGGAGAGUGGAAUUCCACGUGUAGCGGUGAAAUGCGUAGAUAUCGAGAGGAACACCUGCGGCGAAGGCGGGUUGCUGGGCUGACACUGACGCUGAGGCGCGAAAGCCAGGGGAGCGAACGGG
rnacentral:rRNA from 1 species